GUGUGGUGUCUUUCUCUGGCUCCUCCAGGGUUGUUUGAGUUAUUUUCCUUUCCUUUGAUUCUUUUUUUAGUUUAAGUGAUACUCCACCGUUCUUCAGUGCUCUCCAGUGCAACUGUUUUCAUAUCUCUCUCUUGGCUGCUCUAGGUGUACAAGCAGCAGGCAUCAGUGAGUGUAUGCGCUCUGGGUCGGCGUCUGUGCGAGCAGGAGGAGGACUUAGCGGGGAAAGCAGCGAAUUAUCAACGAGAGAUCCGGCACCUGCAGAGCCAACUCAGAGACAGACAGGAACAACUGCACGGAGCUCUGCAGCAGAAGAGGUGACAGGGGCAGGCUAUCUGUGUGCAUAGAUAAGGCCUUAUUUGGCUUUUGCUGAGACUGCACAGUAAGUGAUGAAUAGAGAGGAGGAAGGAGAGAGGAAAAGGGCACCUACAAGGAGAAAUAAAAGAGUCCCGAGAGAGGUAGAAGGUGAGUUGGAGGUGGUUUGGGAGGCAGCGACCAGAGAGAGUCAGCGCUUGAGAGAGGUGGUGUUAGGGAGUCCAGCCACCGUGGCUCCAGCCCUACGCAGCACUUCCGGCCAGACUCCUGCCAGGAUCCCUCGUGUAGAGUAUCAUUUGUCCUGCUCACUGCCCCCUCCCUUCACCUCCAGACAGUGCUGUCUGCCACAGCCUUUACAGCGCAGUCACAUGUUUGACUCCGACUCCGACCAGCACCAGAAUCUUCUGAUGAAAGUGACAAGAGUGGACGGGACUCCUGAU